GCUGGGCGUGGUGGCACGCGCCUGUAGUCCCAGCUACUGGGGAAGCUGAGGUGGGAGGAUCACCUGAGCUCAGGAAGGUCGAGGCUGCAGUGAGCUGUGAUUACAUCACUGCACUCCAGCCUGGGCAACAGAGUGAGAACCUAUCUCAA
rfam:Nomascus leucogenys chromosome X, whole genome shotgun sequence.